AUUGAACGCUGGCGGCAGGCUUAACACAUGCAAGUCGAGCGGGGUGAUGGUGCUUGCACUAUCACUUAGCGGCGGACGGGUGAGUAAUGCUUAGGAAUCUGCCUAUUAGUGGGGGACAACAUCUCGAAAGGGAUGCUAAUACCGCAUACGUCCUACGGGAGAAAGCAUGGGAUCACUUGUGACCUUGCGCUAAUAGAUGAGCCUAAGUCGGAUUAGCGAGUUGGUGGGGUAAAGGCCUACCAAGGCGACGAUCUGUAGCGGGUCUGAGAGGAUGAUCCGCCACACUGGGACUGAGACACGGCCCAGACUCCUACGGGAGGCAGCAGUGGGGAAUAUUGGACAAUGGGGGGAACCCUGAUCCAGCCAUGCCGCGUGUGUGAAGAAGGCCUUAUGGUUGUAAAGCACUUUAAGCGAGGAGGAGGCUCUUUUGGUUAAUACCCAAGAUGAGUGGACGUUACUCGCAGAAUAAGCACCGGCUAACUCUGUGCCAGCAGCCGCAGUAA
rnacentral:rRNA from 1 species